rnacentral:lncRNA from 1 species
UCCGCUAUUGCCACUUGCAUCUUGUUGUAGCCGUUAGGAUCUGUGCCUGCAACAAGAACUUAUCAUUCCACUCUCCAAACAAGAAGAGGCUACGCAAGGCUGAGUUCAGAAUCCAUGCUGGGUUCAACCCAUCCUUAGACAUCCUUAUAUCCAUGGCACCAAAAUUCAUUGUGAAAAGAGAAACAUAAGUGGCCCUUAAACUCUGUUAGAUUGACUCUAUCAUCCGCAUAUGAGGGAUAACCAGGGGGGACAGGAAUUGCUCUGGACUUCUCGUCUCUUGGAUUGAAGAAAAAUAAGUGUUGCAGAUGUGAGGUCCGAAGCAACUUGGAUAUCUUCCAGGACACGGCUCC